rnacentral:rRNA from 1 species
UCGUGGGAUGACCUGUCUGCUUUAUUGCGUUAACGAACGAGAUCUCCGCCUGCUUGUUGCCCCGCAUCCAGGCUCCGGUUUGGGUGACUCACGGGGGAUCAAGAGGGACUUUGGCUGUAAGGUCAAGGAAGUGGAGGCAAUAACA